rnacentral:rRNA from 1 species
UAGUUGGUGUGGUAAAGGCGCACCAAGGCGACGAUCCUUAGCUGGUCUGAGAGGAUGAUCAGCCACACUGGGACUGAGACACGGCCCAGACUCCUACGGGAGGCAGCAGUGGGGAAUAUUGGACAAUGGGCGAAAGCCUGAUCCAGCAAUGCCGCGUGAGUGAUGAAGGCCUUAGGGUUGUAAAGCUCUUUUACCCGGGAUGAUAAUGACAGUACCGGGAGAAUAAGCUCCGGCUAACUCCGUGCCAGCAGCCGCGGUAAUACGGAGGGAGCUAGCGUUGUUCGGAAUUACUGGGCGUAAAGCGCACGUAGGCGGCUUUGUAAGUUAGAGGUGAAAGCCUGGAGCUCAACUCCAGAACUGCCUUUAAGACUGCAUCGCUUGAAUCCAGGAGAGGUGAGUGGAAUUCCGAGUGUAGAGGUG